UACGAAGGGUGUAAGCGUUACUCGGAAUCACUGGGCGUAAAGCGUGCGUAGGCGGUUCGUUAAGUCUGCUGUGAAAGCCCUGGGCUCAACCUGGGAACUGCAGUGGAUACUGGCGGACUAGAGUGUGAUAGAGGAUGGUGGAAUUCCCGGUGUAGCGGUGAAAUGCGUAGAGAUCGGGAGGAACACCAGUGGCGAAGGCGGCCAUCUGGAUCAACACUGACGCUGAGGCACGAAAGCGUGGGGAGCAAACAGG
rnacentral:rRNA from 1 species